CAAAUUAACUAUAAAACCAAAAACUCUGAUCUUACUCAUAGACAGAAGUUGAGAAAUUAGAACAGAAGGGGAAACACAAAGCAGAACUUUCACUGGGUUUUGGUGUAUUGCAGCAAAGUAAAGGAUUCUGGGGGUAGUGAGGCUUUCAAGUCCUGGUGCCUGAUGGUAGAGGAAGACCUAGGUGUGUGUGUGUGUGUGUGUGUGUGUGUGUGUGUUUAGCAGAAAACUGAAAAAUUUUACACAUGUAACAAUAACAAUUUUUACUGCUGAUUGUAAGCCAUUAAUCCUCCCAAAUAAACAUUUAAAAAGUGGGGGCAGGUGGUAGCACAGUGGGUUAAGUGCACAUGGUGUGAAGCACAAGGACCAGAGCAAGGAUUCUGGUUUGACCCCCUGGCUCCCCACCUGCAGUGGGGUGGGGGAGCGCUUCACAAGUGGUGUGGCAGGUCUGCAGGUGUAUAUCUUUCUCUCCCCCUCUCUGUCUUCCCUCCUCUCUCGAUUUCUCUCUGUCCUGUCCAACAGUAACAGCAAUGACAACAACAAUAAGGACAACAAGAGCAACAAAAAUUAGAAAAAAAAAAAAGGUCUCCAGGAGCAGUGAAUUUGUAGUGCAGGCACAAAGCUCCAGUCAUAACCCUGGAGGGAAAAAAAUUAAAAACAAACAAACAAACAAACAAUCCUGUCAGGCUAGUGACAUGAGAGAGAGAUGACCCAGGAACCGAGCUCAUGGUGGUGAGGCCAUUCAAGUAUUUAUUCAUCUGAUAGCCCCAGAGUCAGGUGGUAGCACACCACUUUAAACCAUGUGGCACAAACCGCAAGGGCUAGCUUCAGCCUCCCGGUCAGCAAGCAUGCAUUCCUCGAGCCUGGAAACCAGAAGACCCAAGUGGCUUGACAAUACCAUACAUGGUUAGGAAAGGAUCAGAGAAAGGUAAAAGGGGGCUGGGAAAGGUGGGACUUCCUUAGCAACUGUUGCUAGGGGUUUAACUGGUUGGAUUAAUAAUACCCUGCGGGGAAAUAGGGAGGAGGCCUUAAGUCUUGUUAGACAAAGCAGAACAUUGAUAUGUAGAUAAUAAAAGGGCGGGUCAUUGUAUGAAAGAAUGCAGGGUGAAGCAGGGGAGCUAGCUUAAUGUUUUAAGGAAUGCUGGGCCCCUGGAGGCAGAAAAAUGCAGGGUUUCUGGAGGCUGGGAAUGGCUGACAGGGAAGUGAAAACUGGGACCUGUAUUUUCUGCCCAGCUCUACCUCAGCAAGAGGGAGUAUGAUAGGGAGAUUCGUUUCCUCAGUUCCCCAUUUUUCAAUGGGAAAAGCCUCACCAUACUCAACCUGUUCCUCACAGUAUUCCCAGCACAAUCCUUCUACCUCCCUCCCCCC